AGGAGCGUCGCCUGGAAUGACAGAGAAGGGAAUCACGUCCAAAAUGUCUUCAUUAAGAAAGUCCAUAGAGGGCGUUCUAUCUUUGUGCACAGGUUUGGUAUUUUUAAAACCAGACGGUGAAGGAUGUUGUGACAUCUUGUUGUCCUUGUGGAAAAGCUUUUGUUGCCCUAGCAGAGAAGGUUGAUGAAGUUGAAGAAAU
rnacentral:lncRNA from 1 species